AUGCUAAAACAAAAUAUCAAACCUGUUGAAAUUCUGAUUUUUUUAAAGCAGCAUGAUUGUUUUCCCAAUGCAGUAUUGCAUAGAGUUUUGUUGACCAUUCCUGUGACAGUUGCAUCGGCAGAAAGAAGUUUUUCUAAAUUGAAGCUAUUGAAGUCCUAUAUGCGCACUACUAUGACACAUCAAAGACUCAGUGAUUUGGCUACAAUAGCAUGGCAUUUGAGAGUGAAGUGUUGGAGAAGAUUGAUUACGAGGGUAUGA
rnacentral:rRNA from 1 species